UCGGACAGAUGCGCGUCCGGUGUUUUAAUUCGGCGGCGGCGGCGGCGGCGGCGGCAUCCGGAGGCUUUGCCGCGGGGCUCGCGCGGAUCGGGCCGUCUUCGGGGCUGGCUGGAGAGAGGAGACCCCCUGCCGCGAUCUUGGGGGAAGAUUGUCCACCCCGGUGUUUCCCAACCUGGGGCUCUCCGGCGGGUUGAAAAAAUAACUCCCGCCAUUCCUGCCCACAGCCAGACUCGGACUGGUUAUGAAUUGCUUUUCAACUGCAGCCUUUGCUUUUGCGUGCGCUCUGCUUGUCGAUUAACCAGAAUGUAGCUGUGGUGUCCAGGCAGUUCAGCAACUAAAGCUGAUUUAAAAAGAGAACCGACAUGAUUUAAACCAGAGCCCUGUUGCCUCUGAAGGAUCUGCAGGUACUUGCCGAUUUGGAAAAGAUGCUGGGAGACGGGGGUUUGGCAGACCCCAAGGCAGACCUUUAUAAGGACCUCACCUUUCCGGCUAGCGAUGAUUCUCUCUUUUUCAAUUGUUCUACUCCGUUGGCUCAGUUCAAAGGGGAGAUUUAUUGGCUGAGACCUCAGG